UGGCUGAGCGGUAAAGCACUUGGCUUCUGAACCGGAGAUCCCGGGUUCGAAUCCUGG
rnacentral:tRNA from 1 species